rnacentral:tRNA from 1 species
GUUUUAGUAGUUUAAAUAAAAACUUUGGUCUUGUAAACCAAGAAUAAGAAUUACUUCUAAAACU